rnacentral:rRNA from 1 species
CCAUCGGCGCAGGGUGAGUCGGCCCCUAAGGCGAGGCAGAAAUGCGUAGUCGAUGGGAAACAGGUCAAUAUUCCUGUACCGAUUCUAGAUGCGAUGUGGGGACGGAGAAGGUUAGGUCAGCCAACUGUUGGAAUAGUUGGUUUAAGCGUGUAGGCGUGCCCCUUAGGCAAAUCCGGGGGGCUUAGCUGAGGCGUGACGACGAGGUCUCUUUGAGACCGAAGUGAUUGAUACCCUGCUUCCAGGAAAAGCCACUAAGCUUCAGUCUAGAAUUGACCGUACCGCAAACCGACACAGGUGGGCAGGUAGAAGAUACUAAGGCGCUUGAGAGAACUCAGGAGAAGGAACUCGGCAAAUUGAUACCGUAACUUCGGGAGAAGGUAUGCCCUGGUAGCUUGUAGGAGAACAUCCGAAGGGCGACGGGGCCGCAGAGAAUCGGUGGCUGCGACUGUUUAUUAAAAACACAGCACUCUGCAAACACGAAAGUGGACGUAUAGGGUGUGACGCCUGCUCGGUGCCGGAAGGUUAAGUGAUGGGGUGCAAGCUCUUGAUCGAAGCCCCGGUAAACGGCGGCCGUAACCAUAACGGUCCUAAGGUAGCGAAAUUCCUUGUCGGGUAAGUUCCGACCUGCACGAAUGGCGUAACGAUGGCCACACUGUCUCCUCCUGAGACUCAGCGAAGUUGAAGUGUUUGUGAAGAUGCAAUCUCCCCGCGGCUAGACGGAAAGACCCCAUGAACCUUUACUGUAGCUUUGCAUUGGACUUUGACGGGACUUGUGUAGGAUAGGUGGGAGGCGCUGAGACCAGGACGCUAGUUCUGGUGGAGCCGUCCUUGAAAUACCACCCUGGUGUCGUUGAGGUUCUAACCUAGGUCCAUCAUCUGGAUCGGGGACCGUGCAUGGUAGGCAGUUUGACUGGGGCGGUCUCCUCCCAAAAGGUAACGGAGGAGUACGAAGGUCUUCUAGGUACGGUCGGACAUCGUACUGAUAGUGCAAUGGCAAAAGAAGGCUUGACUGCGAGACCGACAAGUCGAGCAGGUGCGAAAGCAGGUCAUAGUGAUCCGGUGGUUCUGUAUGGAAGGGCCAUCGCUCAACGGAUAAAAGGUACUCUGGGGAUAACAGGCUGAUUCCGCCCAAGAGUUCACAUCGACGGCGGAGUUUGGCACCUCGAUGUCGGCUCAUCACAUCCUGGGGCUGUAGCCGGUCCCAAGGGUAUGGCUGUUCGCCAUUUAAAGUGGUACGUGAGCUGGGUUUAAAACGUCGUGAGACAGUUUGGUCCCUAUCUGCCGUGGGCGCUGGAUAUUUGAGGGGGCCUGCUCCUAGUACGAGAGGACCGGAGUGGACGGAUCUCUGGUGUACCGGUUGUGACGCCAGUCGCAUCGCCGGGUAGCUAAAUCCGGAAGAGAUAACCGCUGAAAGCAUCUAAGCGGGAAACUCGCCUCGAGAUGAGAUAUCCCUGGGAACUUGAUUCCCCUGAAGGGUCGUCGAAGACCACGACGUUGAUAGGUCGGGUGUGGAAGCG